rnacentral:rRNA from 1 species
AGAGUUUGAUCAUGGCUCAGAUUGAACGCUGGCGGAAUGCUUUACACAUGCAAGUCGAACGGCAGCACGGACUUCGGUCUGGUGGCGAGUGGCGAACGGGUGAGUAAUAUAUCGGAACGUAUCCAAUAAUGGGGGAUAACUAAUCGAAAGGUUGGCUAAUACCGCAUACGCCCUACGGGGGAAAGCAGGGGAUCUUCGGACCUUGCGUUAAUGGAGCGGCCGAUAUCUGAUUAGCUAGUUGGUGGGGUAAAGGCCCACCAAGGCGACGAUCAGUAGCUGGUCUGAGAGGACGACCAGCCACACUGGAACUGAGACACGGUCCAGACUCCUACGGGAGGCAGCAGUGGGGAAUUUUGGACAAUGGGCGAAAGCCUGAUCCAGCCAUUCCGCGUGAGUGAAGAAGGCCUUCGGGUUGUAAAGCUCUUUCGCAAGGGAAGAAAACUUAUCUCCGAAUAAGGGAUGAGGUUGACGGUACCUUGAUAAGAAAGCACCGGCUAACUACGUGCCAGCAGCCGCGGUAAUACGUAGGGUGCGAGCGUUAAUCGGAAUUACUGGGCGUAAAGCGUGCGCAGGCUGUUUUGUAAGUCAGAUGUGAAAUCCCUGAGCUCAACUUAGGAACUGCGUUUGAAACUACAAGACUAGAAUAUGUCAGAGGGGGGUAGAAUUCCACGUGUAGCAGUGAAAUGCGUAGAGAUGUGGAGGAAUACCAAUGGCGAAGGCAGCCCCCUGGGAUAAUAUUGACGCUCAUGCACGAAAGCGUGGGGAGCAAACAGGAUUAGAUACCCUGGUAGUCCACGCCCUAAACGAUGUCUACUAGUUGUUGGUGGAGUAAAAUCCAUGAGUAACGCAGCUAACGCGUGAAGUAGACCGCCUGGGGAGUACGGUCGCAAGAUUAAACUCAAAUGAAUUGACGGGGCCCGCACAAGCGGUGGAUUAUGUGGAUUAAUUCGAUGCACCGCGAAAAA